rfam:Volvox carteri f. nagariensis unplaced genomic scaffold VOLCAscaffold_131, whole genome shotgun sequence.
GUCGACAUCGUAUAGUGGUCAGUAUCCCCGCCUGUCAUGACACCAUCCAAUCAUGGAUCGCGGGAGGCCGGGGUUCGAUUCCCCGUGUCGGCG